rnacentral:rRNA from 1 species
GACGAACCGUCCAAACGUUGUUCGGAAUCACUGGGCUUAAAGGGCGCGUAGGCGGGUUCCCAAGUCGGUGGUGAAAUCUUUCGGCCCAACCGGAAAACAGCCGCCGAUACUGGGAGUCUCGAGUGAGGUAGGGGUCGAUGGAACUUCAGGUGGAGCGGUGAAAUGCGUAGAUAUCUGAAGGAACGCCGGUGGCGAAAGCGAUCGACUGGACCUUUUCUGACGCUGAGGCGCGAAAGCCAGGGGAGCAAACGGG